UAAAGAUGCCUGAUUAAAGGAUUAUCUUGAUAGGAUAAAACAUGUAUUUUUACUCUUUAU
rnacentral:tRNA from 1 species